AACAAACGCUGGCGGCGUGCCUAACACAUGCAAGUCGUACGAGAAAGGGUCCUUCGGGGCCUGAGUAAAGUGGCGCGCGGGUGAGUAACGCGUGGAUAAUCUGCCCUCCAGUUGGGAAUAACUCAUCGAAAGGUGGGCUAAUACCGAAUAAUGCUGUGAGACCUCGGUUGAUCAGCCAAAGAGAGCCUCUGCUUGCAAGCCCUCGCUGAAGGAUGAGUCCGCGUACCAUUAGCUAGUUGGUAGGGUAAUGGCCUACCAAGGCGACGAUGGUUAGCUGGUCUGAGAGGAUGAUCAGCCGCACUGGAACUGAGACACGGUCCAGACUCCUACGGGAGGCAGCAGUGAGGAAUCUUGCGCAAGGGGGGCAACCCUGACGCAGCAACGCCGCGUGAGUGAGGAAGGUCUUCGGAUCGUAAAGCUCUGUCGGAUGGAAAGAACCGCAUAGGGGUAAACAGCCCCUGUGUCUGACGGUACCGUCAAAGGAAGCACCGGCUAACUCCGUGCCAGCCGCCGCAGUAAAAC
rnacentral:rRNA from 1 species